rnacentral:rRNA from 1 species
AAAGCCUUGAUCGGAGCAAUCUCGCGUGAGGGAUGACGGCCUAUGGUGUUGUAAACCUCUUUUUUCAGGGAGGAAUAAAUGACGUGUACCUGAAGAGAUAAGCAUCGGCUAACUCCGUGCCAGCAGCCGCGGUAAGACGGAGGAUGCAAGUGCUUAUCCGGAAUCACUGGGCGUAAAGCGUCUGUAGGUGGUUUAAUAAGUCAACUGUUAAAUCUUGAAGCUCAACUUCAAAAUCGCAGUCGAAACUAUUAGACUAGAGUAUAGUAGGGGUAAAGGGAAUUUCCAGUGGAGCGGUGAAAUGCGUAGAGAUUGGAAAGAACACCGAUGGCGAAGGCACUUUACUGGGCUAUUACUGACACUCAGAGACGAAAGCUAGGGUAGCAAAUGGGAUUAGAUACCCCAGUAGUCCUAGCCGUAAACAAUGGAUAACUAGAUGUUGAACAGAUCGACCUGUGCAGUAUUAAAGCUAACGCGUUAAGUAUCCCGCCUGGGAAGUAUGCUCGCCAAGAGUGAAACUCAAAUGAAUUGACGG